AUGUAAAUAGCAAUAAAAGUCAGGAAAAAAAAAUUUUUGUUGAUUAAAUAAAAUGAAUUUGAAGAAUAAAUAAACCAAUUUUGACAAACUUCACAUCAAUAGUGAUGUUAAAAUAAAACCCCGUUACAAAUACAGCUUUAGACUUGAAGCUAAAAACAAAAGGGAGCCCUGAAUCAGAUAAUUAGGAGCAAGGAACGGCAAGGAAGAUUUGAAGAAGACCUUAAGGGUUUCGAAGAAGUGGAAGGAGUUGUUCCAACUGCACUUUUCAGACAAGAAAAAAAGCAAGAGGGGUGAUAUAAGAGUGAAAUGGGAUUUCGGGUAGCAUCACCAGAGCCAGUGAAUUGGAAAAGAUUAACAAACCAGGAAGGAAGGCUUAUUCAAUCCCGGGGACUGUUCUGGGGCCUCUGGAGUUGUUUGUGCACAGAAAACUGUUUUAUAAAAUGAAAAACAUAAUGGACACCCUGAGCAUCCUCUUCACAACACAGUAAUUCAACAACAGAGUGGCUUCAGAGGCUUCUUCAGAUCAUUAUGGUUAUAAUUUAUAAAUCCUAUAAUUUCCAUUAGGGAUUAAUAUUGUAUUAUUGAU